rnacentral:rRNA from 1 species
GAUGAACGCUGGCGGCGUGCCUAAUACAUGCAAGUCGAGCGAACAGACGAGUUGCUUGCUCCUCUUACGUUCGCGGCGGACGGGUGAGUAACACGUGGCUAACCUAUCUCUAAGGCUUGGAUUACUUCGUGAAACCGUAGUUAAUACCGGAUAAUCUCUUUACCUGCAUGGUUCAAUAGUGAAAGACGGUUUUGCUUUCACUUCUCGGUUGAUCCGCGCCGUAUUAGCUAGUUGGUAAGGUAACGGCUUACCAAGGCAACGAUGCGUAGCCGAGCUGAGAGGGUGAUCGGCCACACUGGAACUGAGACACGGUCCAGACUCCUACGGGAGGCAGCAGUAGGGAAUCUUCCGCAAUGGGCGAAAGCCUGACGAAGCAACGCAGCGUGAGUGAUGAAGGUCUUCGGAUCGUAAAACUCUGUUAUUAGGGAAGAACAAAUGUGUAAGUAACUAAGCACGUCUUGACGGUACCGAAUCAGAAAGCCACGGCUAACUAUGUG